rnacentral:piRNA from 1 species
UCUAGAAGAUGAAGAAACAUGGGC